CAAUUUUAUUUUGAACACGUUCUCUAGCGUCAGGUUGUGGAAUCACCGAAAAACUAUAAAAACUUAUUAAAAUUUAAAUUUAAAAAUCAUAUUGAUAACAGCUACUCGCCCUUAAACACUAAAGUUAAACAAUAAAAUUGACAAAAUGAAAUUUUUUAUUCGCUAUUAUUUGCCGCUUUAUUCUUCAUCUGCGCCUCUGGAGUACAAGCCCAACAAUGUCCCGUUGCUUGCCCAGCAUUAUUUAGACCCACCUGCGCUUUUCAACGGUCGUUGCCACAAACAAUUCACCAACGAUUGUUUUGAUGAACUACGAAAACUGCAGUAAGAAAGAAAACUUCCAAAUUGUAGAAUUAGCUAAAUGCUCUCAAAAGGGUUGCCGUUCAAUGUUAAAUUAAAUAUAAGUUAUUGUUUAUUUUAUAUAGAAAAAACAUUAAGUUAUAAUAAAGUAAAAAGUUAAUUAAAAAAUGUAAUCUUCCCUUUAAUAAAUAGUGUACUUUACAGAACAAAUCCAAA